GGGGGGGGGGUAUACUGGAAUCGGGUUGUCCGUCUGUCUGUCCGUCCGUCUGUAGACGCAAUGGUUUCCGGGCUCUAAAGCAUUAUCCUUUCCACCUACCGUCACCAUAUCAUAUAUAUAUGGACUACCCAUGGGAUGAAGAUGUUCCCUAUCGAUUUUGGGGUCAAAAGGUCAAAGGUCACGCGCACUGGACAUCAAAGUAGCAAUAUGGUUUCCAUUUAAAUUCUUUAAUGGCUUUUUUCAUCGCAUGGAGAUGCUGUGUUCCUAGAUACCUUUUGGAUCAUAAUAUUGAAGUUUUACCUAUUUCCAACACCCUUUAGGAGAUUGGGGUAAGCGAGGGGUAUUCUUAGUGAGCAUUGCUCACAGUACCUCUUGUUUUAACAGGUUGUUUUUUUACAAUAACUAUCGGAAAAGACUAACAAAAUUUAUGUUCCUAUCAUGCAUAAAUCUAAAUAAAUCAUUGAUUUUGCAAAAUCUGAUGACAUCAUAGGAGGGUGGAAUUACUUUAAGUUAUGUUUAGUGCUGUGUGUAUAUAAACAUGCACUCAUAUAAUUAUAUCUUCCCUCUUCCAGGGGGAGACAUAUUGUAUUUGUACUUUCUGUCCGUCCUUCCUUUUGUCACAAAAUCUUGUGAACGCUUCUCCACCUAUAUGGCUUAUCAGAUAGACUUGAAACUUUGUACAAUGCUUCAUUGUCAUUUGCAGAUGUGAAUAUUGUUGGGACGGGAGGAUCCAAUUGUUUUCCUAAGAGUUAUAGUGGAUCUAAGAGGGGUGGAAGAUGUAAAAUAGCUUAUGAACUCUUCUCCUCCCAUAUGGCUUAUUGGAUAGACUUGAAACUUUGUACAAUGCUUAAUUGUCAUUUGUAGAUGUGCAUAUUGUGGGAAUGGGAGGAUCCAAAGUUUUUCCUAAAAGAUAUAGUGGAUCUAAAAGGGGUGGAGGAUGUUAAAAUACCUUGUGAACACUUCUCCUAUAUGGCUUAUCUGAUAGACUUGAGAAUUUGUACAAUGCUUCAAUGCCAUUUGUAGAUGUGCAAGUUGUAGGGACAGGAGGAUCCAAUUGUUUUCCUAAGAGUUAUAGUGGAUCUAAGAGGGGUGGAAGAUGUAAAAUAGUUUAUGAACUCUUCUCCUCCCAUAUGGCUUAUUGGAUAGACUUGAAACUUUGUACAAUGCUUAAUUGUCAUUUGUAGAUGUGCAUAUUGUGGGAAUGGGAGGAUCCAAAGUUUUUCCUAAAAGAUAUAGUGGAUCUAAAAGGGGUGGAGGAUGUUAAAAUACCUUGUGAACACUUCUCCUAUAUGGCUUAUCUGAUAGACUUGAGAAUUUGUACAAUGCUUCAAUGCCAUUUGUAGAUGUGCAAGUUGUAGGGACAGGAGGAUCCAAUUGGUAUCCUUAAAGUUAAAGUGGAUCUGAGGGGUGUAGGGUAUAAAAUAGUUUGUGAACGCUUCUCCUCCUAUAUGGCUUAUCAGAGUUCAUGUCUAUCUUCCUGCCCAUGCUUUCUCCUCCAUACUAUUCAAUACAUUAAGGGGGAUGUUUCCUAUAUUUUACGAAUUAAUUGGUUGAUUGACAACAAACUUGGUACACUUGUACAGCAUAUAUAAGGAGUAGAUGACCCCUAUUGAUUCUUAGGUCACAUGGUCAGUCCACUCUUGACAUAGGAAGGUAUUGUCUGCUCAAUAUUUUGAAUUGGUGUAACUACUAUGAAUUAAAUGAGGCACGGGUAUAACCCUUUCAAUUUUGUAACUUGGGGGGCAUAUGUGUUUUAGAAACAUCUCUUGUGUUGUAUUAUAUGAAUUACAGUUUUUAGUGUGCUCAGUUUAGAGAAUAGCAUAAAAGUAUUUGAUAAUUAAAUAUCUUACAGAUUGGCAGUUUACUCCAUGCACCGAAAGGAAUGAUAAACUGUGAUAUUCGUAAAUGGAACUGGAACACGUUCUAAAUAUACUCAGGGACAGAAUGAUGUGCAGCAAGGCUCGUCAUGGAUUUUACCAAAUACAGAACACUGCAAGGCUUGCAAAAUGAAGACCUCAGUAAAAAAAUUUCUAAAUUAUCCACUAAUGGCAGCUCACUACCUGCCCCUUGUGAUGUUAAAAGAGGCCGUUGUUCUCAUUUGUUCCAAAACAGGAAUGGCAUAUGAGGAGGCCAACAGAAGAUGCACCUCCACUGACCUCCACUGAGUGUGCACUCACAAAACGAAUAAAUUAUUAUUAUUUCUUUUGUUUGUAAUUGUAUAUUGUCAACAAGGUCAAAGGCACUUGAUCCGAUGCCAAACUUUUGCAUUUCUUUUGCUUUGUGGUAAAUUUUCUUCAGCAACAUUAACAUUGUUUAAAUUGUUUUCUUUGGAGAGUUUACAUGUACACAUGGAUCAUUUGUAUAUUAGAAUUAUAGCAUUGUUUAAUUCAACUCAUUCUUAUCAUAGAGAGGUUAUUAUAUACUGCAGGCAACGACUUGUAAAGGGUAUACUGUUUUAACUCACAUGCAAGGCAGUAUUAUGAAACUCUGUAGUUGAUAAGGACAUAUAUCACAUAUCGAUAUGCAUAUUUACAGGAAACUCUGAUGUAUUUUAAAUCUGAACGUUAAUUUAAAAGUGGGGAGAAAUAGCAUUGGAUGAAAAAAGACACAUAUGAAGAAAAUUAUUCCAUACGUAAAUACUUUUUAGCUCACCUGAGCUGAAAGCUCAAGUGAGCUUUUCUGAUCGCCUGUUGUUCAUUGUCUGUCCGUGCAUGAUUAAACAUUUUAUAUUUUCUCCAGAAGCACUGGGCCAAUAAUAACCAAACUUAACCAAAAGUAUCCUUGGGUAAAGGGCUUUCGAGUUUGUUCAAAUGAAGGGUCAUGCCCUCUUCAAAGGGGAGAUGACCACAAAAAUAGGGUGGGUCAUUUAAUUUUUUUAUCAAGAACCAUUGGGCCAGGAGAGCUGAAAUGUACAUGAAAGCUUCCUGACAUAGUACAGAUUCAAGUUUAUUGAAAUCAUGGCCUCCUGGGGUUGUAUGGGGCCACAAUAGAGAAUCAAAGUUUUACAUACAAUUAUUCAGGAAAACUCUUUCAAUAUGAGCCAAGGUGGCUCAGGUGAGCGAUGUGGCCCAUGGGCCUCUUGUUCAACAUAUAGAAUAAAUAGUUAUGUUGUAUUUCCCAUGGAACAUUGAAACGUUUAAUGCGUUUACCAAUUAAUCACUGAAAGAAAGAUAAAAUUGUUGUUUCAUAUGUUUUAUGAAAACUUAAAGAUGUUUCAUUUCUUUUCAUGAAAGACCCCUUAAUUACCCAGUAAUAAAUAAUCAAUUCUUAACAGAUUAUGUAAAUUUGAUUUAUAUUAAGGAUGUUUGAUCUGAUUACCCAUCAUUAUCAAUCUGUCUAAUAUGGCCAUCAUGUGUUACUAUUGCUACGCAAUCUUGGAGCAUGAGGUAGAAUGCGAGCCAGCUCUUUCAUAAGUACAUGUAUCUGGAAAAUAUUUCAAUGUCAAAGGUUACAACAAUGUGAUAAUUUAAUCAUUGUAUGUCUAAGGUGUUGAUAAUAAAACUGUUAUCUGUUCAA